rnacentral:tRNA from 1 species
UAGGGUAUAGCCCAGUGGUUGAGUGCAUGCUUAGCAUGCAUGAGGUCCUGGGAUCAAUUCCCAGUACUCCAU